UGCGGAGGGUGCAAGCGUUGCUCGGAAUCAUUGGGCGUAAAGCGCACGUAGGCGGCGGCAUAAGCGGGAUGUGAAAGCCCAGGGCUCAACCCUGGAAGUGCAUCCCGAACUGUGUCGCUUGAAUCUCGGAGGGGGACAGAGAAUUCCCGGUGUAGAGGUGAAAUUCGUAGAUAUCGGGAGGAAUACCAGUGGCGAAGGCGCUGUCCUGGACGAAGAUUGACGCUGAGGUGCGAAAGCGCGGGGAGCAAACAGG
rnacentral:rRNA from 1 species